CAGCCUGCCUGGCUGGCUGGCGGUUGGGAGCCCAGAAGGCUGUUUGCAUCUCAUCCUGCGGGGAUCUCUCAUCUUUUUGCAUCUCAUCUCUUUCCCACCCUCCAAGCCUCCCCACUGACUGUCCUGUCCAAGACCUCACCAUGCGACUCAGUUGGGAAGAUGAAGUAAUUUUGUUGUUGUUGUUCAGGGAGUAUCUUCUGAUCAGAAGGCAGGUGGAAGCUUUCAGCCCAGGUCUGUCUGAUCCUAUUUAUCUAAACAGCCUCUACAGAUAGGUAGCCUGCAUCCCAUUGGGUGAGAAGGUCCCUUCUCCCAGCCUCCUCCCUCCAAGAGGGCAUCUUAGUACAGGAAGUAGGAUGUAAUUCUUGUGACUUCGAGACCCCUCGCUGGUCCUUGGGCAUGUGCAGCUGGCUGCAGGGUGAUGCCCCUGGUCUACCUCCCGCCAGGUUUCCAGCUGACUCCCUCUAUUCCUGCAGGCUGCAGCCCAUCAACUGAAUCGCCACUGCUGACCGCCGAUCAUGAAGUGGCUCUGUCCUCCAUGUGGGCAGCACCUGACCACUGGCCUUUAUCUUUUCGUCACCGUGCCCCCUCGACGAGUCUGAUUGCUUUCCUCCAUGAGGCUGCACUGGAGCUGGAGAGCCCCUGCCCGACCUCAUGAGAGUUGAGAGGACAGUUGUUGAGGGGACUGUGCUCCAGGAAGGGGGAGGCAUAGCUGCCUCCCAGAGCCCCAUGUGCCCAGUUAAGGAAAGUCUGUACCCUGAUUGCACCCUUCAACUUUGGCCCCUUUCUGGGGCCAAAGCGCCAAGAGGAAAAGCCUGGGGGGGGGCAGUGCCCUUCUCCCCACUUCCCUAUUUCUUUCCGCCGUCUCCUGGGUCCAGACCAGAGUGGACACCUCUCUUACUCUGCACACAUCGCACCCUCUGCCACUGUCCAGUGUCCAGAAUUCCUGGACAGGAAGUGGAAAGGCCGGCUCCCAGGACCCCGGCCCUGGCUAUUCUGUGCAUCAGAAGUGGAAGAACACCUUGUUCUUUCCCUUGGCCUCCUUACGAAGCCGUUCCCAAGCUCCUCCUGAAAGAUGGAGGCUUUGAGCCAGCUGGCACGAUGGUCAGAUCCUCAGAAAGGAAGAGAAAGGCUCGUUGAUCAUCUAUAAAAAGCACAGUGUGGCAGCAAACCUCCCGGUCGGCACAGCUGGGAGUCCCAGGAACUAAGACCCCAGUGUCCACGGGCCUGGGGCCCCUCAUCCUGGCCCCGCUGUGGGUCCCCCACCCAAUCCUGGCCUCCCCAUGGGUCCCCCAUCCCAUCCUUCCCUCCCAUGUGUCCCCCAUCCCGUCCUGGCCUCCCCUGUGUCCCCCAUCCCGUCCUGGCCUCCCCCAGGCCCCCCAUCCCGUCCCAGCCUCCCCCAGGUCCUCCAUCCCAUCCUGGCCCACCUGUGGGCA
rnacentral:lncRNA from 1 species